rnacentral:misc_RNA from 1 species
CGCACAUUGCACUCCUUGGUAUUCCGGGGAGUAUGCCUGUUCGAGCGUCAUUUCACCUCUCAAGCUAUAGCUUGGUAUUGGAUGUUAUCACGGCAAAAUGUGAUAUAUCUGAAAAGUAGUGGCGAUGUGUGAAAAGUUUUCAAGCGCAGUGAAAUAUAUUCGCAUGAGCUUUUACAGAUCAGCUUUUAAUUUUAAUUCAUUACUUUGACCUCGGAUCAGGUAGGGAUACCCGCUGAACUUAA